rnacentral:rRNA from 1 species
CCUACGGGAGGCAGCAGUGAGGAAUAUUGGUCAAUGGCCGGAAGGCUGAACCAGCCAUGCCGCGUGAAGGUCAGUGCCCUAUGGGCGUUAAACUUCUUUUGUGCGGGAGCAAUAAUGGUCACGUGUGGCCAGACGAGAGUACCGUACGAAUAAGCAUCGGCUAACUCCGUGCCAGCAGCCGCGGUAAUACGGGGGAUGCAAGCGUUAUCCGGAUUUAUUGGGUUUAAAGGGUGCGUAGGCUGUGAGGUAAGUCAGCGGGGAAAUGCCCCCGCUCAACGGGGUGAAGUGCCAUUGAUACUGCCUUGCUGGAAUGCGGAUGCCGUGAGAGGAAUGUGUGGUGUAGCGGUGAAAUGCAUAGAUAUCACACAGAACACCGAUUGCGAAGGCAUCUCACGAAUCCGCGAUUGACGCUGAUGCACGAAAGCGUGGGUAUCAAACAGGAUUAGAUACCCCAGUAGUC